GUCCACGCUGUAAACGAUGUCGAUUUGGAGGUUGUGCCCUAGAGGUGUGGCUUCCGGAGCUAACGCGUUAAAUCGACCGCCUGGGGAGUACGGCCGCAAGGUUAAACUCAAAUGAAUUGACGGGGGCCCGCACAAGCGGUGGAGCAUGUGGUUUAAUUCGAUGCAACGCGAAGAACCUUACCUACUCUUGACAUCCACGGGAGUUAGCAGAGAUGCGAAUGUGCCUUCGGGAACCGUGAGACAGGUGCUGCAUGGCUGUCGU
rnacentral:rRNA from 1 species